AUUGAACGCUGGCGGCAUGCCUUACACAUGCAAGUCGAACGGCAGCGGGGGAGAAGCUUGCUUUUCCUGCCGGCGAGUGGCGAACGGGUGAGUAAUACAUCGGAACGUGCCCUGUAGUGGGGGAUAACUAGUCGAAAGAUUAGCUAAUACCGCAUACGACCUGAGGGUGAAAGUGGGGGACCGCAAGGCCUCAUGCUAUAGGAGCGGCCGAUGUCUGAUUAGCUAGUUGGUGGGGUAAAGGCCUACCAAGGCGACGAUCAGUAGCUGGUCUGAGAGGACGAUCGGCCACACUGGGACUGAGACACGGCCCAGACGCCUACGGGAGGCAGCAGUGGGGAAUUUUGGACAAUGGGCGAAAGCCUGAUCCAGCAAUGCCGCGUGUGUGAAGAAGGCCUUCGGGUUGUAAAGCACUUUUGUCCGGAAAGAAAUGGCUCUGGUUAAUACCUGGGGUCGAUGACGGUACCGGAAGAAUAAGGACCGGCUAACUACGUGCCAGCCGCCGCGGUAA
rnacentral:rRNA from 1 species